AAACCAACAGGGAUUGCCUCAGUAACGGCGAGUGAAGCGGCAAAAGCUCAAAUUUGAAAUCUAGUACCCCUACCGAGUGCUCGAGUUGUAAUUUGAAGAUGGCAAACUUUGGUGGCUGGCCCUUGUCUAUGUUCCUUGGAACAGGACGUCACAGAGGGUGAGAAUCCCGUCUGACGAGGUGACCCAGCUGCCGUGUAAAGUGCUAUCGAAGAGUCGAGUUGUUUGGGAAUGCAGCUCUAAGUGGGUGGUAAAUUCCAUCUAAAGCUAAAUAUUGGCGAGAGACCGAUAGCGAACAAGUACAGUGAUGGAAAGAUGAAAAGAACUUUGAAAAGAGAGUGAAAAAGUACGUGAAAUUGUUGAAAGGGAAGGGUAUUAGAUCAGACUUGGCCACCCUACGAUUAUCUGCCCUUUGUGGGCAGUGCACUCGUGGGUGCUUGCUGGGCCAGCAUCGAUUCGGGCGGCAGGAUAAUGGCGAAAGAACGUGGCAUUGGCCUUCUAGGCGGAUGUGUUUAUAGCUUUCGCUGAUGCUGCCUGCCUGGAUCGAGGA
rnacentral:rRNA from 1 species